rnacentral:rRNA from 1 species
CAGCCGCCGCGGUAAUACGUAGGGUGCGAGCGUUAAUCGGAUUUACUGGGCGUAAAGCGUGCGCAGGCGGCCCGUUAAGACAGGUGUGAAAUCCCUGGGCUCAACCUAGGAAUUGCGCUUGUGACUGGCGGGCUCGAGUACGGUAGAGGGGGGUGGAAUUCCUGGUGUAGCAGUGAAAUGCGUAGAGAUCAGGAGGAACACCGAUGGCGAAGGCAGCCCCCUGGGCCUGUACUGACGCUCAUGCACGAAAGCGUGGGGAGCAAACAGGAUUAGAUACCCUGGUAGUCCACGCCCUAAACGAUGGGUACUAGCCGUUUGGUGCGCGAGAGCGCUGAGUGGAGAAGCUAACGCGUGAAGUACCCCGCCUGGGGAGUACGGCCGCAAGGUUGAAACUUAAAGGAAUUGGCGGG